GACGAACGCUGGCGGCGUGCUUAACACAUGCAAGUCGAACGGCAAGGCCCUGCGUUUGUGGGGUGCUCGAUUGCCGAACGGGUGAGUAACACGUGUGUAUCCUGCCCUUCAUUUUGGGAUAACUUCAGGAAACUGGGCUUACUACCGGACCGGAUCUCCCGCUCCAGGGGGGGGGUGGGAAAUUCUGGGCGUUUGGGGAUGGUCGCGCGGCUUAUCAGCUUGCUGGUGGGGUAGUGGCGUACCAAGGCUUUGACGGGUAGCCGGCCUGAGAGGGUGACCGGACUCAAUAGGCCUAAGGUACGGACCAGACUGCAACGGGAGGCAGCGGUGGGGAAUAUUGCACAACGAGAGGAAGCCUGAUGAGACAACGCCGGGUGCGGGAUGACGGCCUUCGGGUUGUAAACCGCAGUCGCCUGAGACGAAGCGUGAGUGACGGUAACGGAUAAAGAAGCACCGGCUAACUACGUG
rnacentral:rRNA from 1 species